CCCAAAUCAUCUUCAAUUGAUAUUUGAUGAUUAGGACUAUUAGAUGGGUUGUUCGCAUUCAGUUGGGCUUGUUUCUAUGCGUUUUAAAUUUUUUAGACUGAAUAGUUUAAUUCGUAAUGGAUAAUGAUCCAAAAAAUAAAAGUAGAUAGAAAUGUAUAUGUCUAUUAAAGAUCCAAUUUAACUUUGAACUUGAAUGUUUACAUAUCUUUGAAUAGAUUCCAAAUUCUGCAUUUUAGUUUUUUAGCUUUUUUGUUACUAGAGUAGUUUUAGUUUUUUUAAAAACUUGAAUAGAAAUUUGUGUAGUCUUUGGAUUUAUAGUUUUUAUCCACAGUUAGAAAUAAUGUGCAUUUAGUUUUAAUAUUUCUCUUUUAAAAAUUACUAAAUAAGUUUAUGAAAUAAAAUAUCAUCAUUUUAAAACACCAUUAAUACAAAUGAUUGUAGAAAUGUUUAUGAAAUAAACCAACCAACUUUUGAAAAACUAUGUUUCUUAAACCGUGAAAACCCUAAUUGUCCAACAUUUUGAACAGUUAAUAUAUAUAGUGUUUUUUUAUAAAAACAAAAAGCUCAACGUACAAAUAAUGAAAAAUAAGAUUUCAGUUCUAAUAAAAUGAUAGUUUUCAUCAAAACAAUAAAAUAAUAAGCUGUCAAAACUACAAAUUUAUAUUUCCAUCAAAAUUUAAUGACAAUGUUUAAACUGUAAAAUUAUAUCAAACUGUAAAGUUGCACUAUCACACCAAAACUACAUAAUUAUAAUAUUUGUAAAGAUACAGAAUUAUUUUUUCAAACCCGUAAAACCACAAAAUUAUGUAUUCUGUUAAAAUCGUUUAAACCAUAAAUUAUCUAUUCAUUUAAAACUGCAAAAUUCCAUUUUUGUGAAGAUAGUGAAAUUGUUUUCUCUCGCCAGAACUGCAAAUUGAAAUUUUUCUCACGGAAACAAAAUUUAUAACCAAUAGCCAAACCCACAUAAUUAUGUUUUCCAUCAAAAUUCUAAAACUCUAAAAUUCUGCCAAUAUUGCAAAAGUUGGAGUUUAUGAUUCAUUUUGUUGUUGAUGUAGAUGAAAACGGCUCUAUUCGUUAGCAAAAAAAAACGAAUCCAUUCACACGUUCAUUAACGAUCCAAUUUAUAUUCGGCCUUAAUUAUUUGUAUAUCUUUGAAUAGAUUCUGAAUUAUUAUAGACUGAAUUAGUUAGUUUGUAAUGGGUAAUGAUCUAGAAAAUACAUUUGAUAGAAAUGGAUCUGCCAUUAAUGUUCCAAGUCAUCUUCAAGUGAUAUUUCGUGAUUAUAGCUAUUAAAUGGGUUGUCCGCGUUCAAUUGGGCUUGUCUAUAUGCUCUGUUAUUUUUUGGAUUAAACUCGUUAGUCUGUAAUGGGUAGCAAUUCAAAAGAUAAAAAUAGUAUGGAUAUGUCCAUUAACAAUCCAGUUUAACUUUGAUCUUGAUUGUUUGCAUAUCUUUGGAUAAAUUUAAAUUGAAAUUCUGGCUUUUAGGUUUUAGUUUUUUUUUUGGUUAUUAGAGUAGUUUAGGUUUUUAAAAACUUGAAUCAUAGUUUUUUUUAUCUAUAGUUACAAAUUAUGUGCUUUUAGCAUUUAGUUUUAAUAUGUCCCUUUUAAAAAGUACUAAAUAAGUUUAUGAAAUAAAAUAUCAUUAAGAACUAAACUAUAAUAUUAUAUAUAACUUUGAUGUAAAUAAUAGCCAUCUCUGAUAAAAUAUGUAUAUAUAUAUUAUAUUUAUAUCAUAAUUUUUUUCCUUCAUAUUUAUAUCAUAAUUUUAAACUGCAUAAAUAAAAAUGAUUGUAGAGAUGUUUACAUAAAUGGAAAUUGUGUUUUUUUUUUCUGUAUGUAGAAUUAUGAGAACUUUCUUUUUAUAUAAAAUAAUAUUUUAAAGAUUGGUUUAGAAAUUGGUUUAGAAAAUAGUCUUAUUUGUCCAAAACAAAAUAAAAUAAAAUAAAAUAUGCUAAUGGAAAUUUACUCAAAAACAUAAAAAGUGUUCUUUUUGUUAGAUAAUGAUUAGGAACUUGUUUAAUUUUGAAUUGGAACCGAGACAGCAAAAAAAAUAUUUCUCGGAGAGGUCGCACUUCCUUUGUUGAAAUAAGUACAAAAGAUUUGAUUCGAAAUUGUAUAAGAAUUACCUUAACAAAUCUCAUAAUUGUAUAAAAUAAAAAUGAAUAAUUUUCUGGAUUCGGGAUUGAUCUCUGUAGAUUACAUAAAUCUGUUUUAUUUGUUUUCUCCUAAGACUAGUAAUUUUUGACAAUCGCUUAGAUAAAAUCAUGGUAUUAUUCAUAUGUUUUUAAAUAUAAUAAAUCUCAAUCCUUGUUGAAAUAAGUACAAAAUAUUUUAUUCGAUAUUUCAUAAGAAUUACCUUCAUAAAAUCUCAUAAUUAUAUAUAAUAAAAAUAAAUAAUUAUCUGGAUUCGCGAUUGAUCUGUGUAGAUUACAUUAAUCUGUUUUAUUCGAUUUCUCCUAAGACUAGCAUUUUUUGAUAAUUGCUUAGAUAAAAUCAUGGUAUUAUUCAUAUGUUUUUUAAUAAAAUAAAUCUCAAUCCUUGUUGAAAUAAGUACAAAAUAUUUGAUUCGAUAUUUCAUAAGAAUUACCUUAAUAAAAUCUCAUAAUUGUAUAUAAUAAAAAAUAAAUAAUUAUCUGGAUUCGGGAUUGAUCUCUGUAGAUUACAUUAAUCUGUUUUAUUCGAUUUCUCCCAAAACUGGUAGUUUUUGACAGUCGCUUAGAUAAACUCAUGGUACUAUUCAUAUGUUUUUAAAUAUAAUAAAUCUCAAUUUUUAUUAAUUUUAUUAUCUUCUAAUUAUUUUAGAAUCGAUCCAUUUAAUCAUGAAAAUAUCACAAUAUGAUAAACCAACCAAAUUUUGAAAAACUAUGUUUUUUAAAAGCGUUAACAAAACAAUUUGUCCAAAAUUUUGAAUAGUUAAUAUAUAUAUAGUGCUUUUAGAAGAAAAAAAACACAACCUACAAAUUAUGAAAAUAAUAAGUUUUCAGUUUUUAUAAAAUAACAGUUUUCAUCAAAACAAUAAAAUAAUAUUCUGUCAAAACUUCAAAUUUAUAUUUCCAUCAAAAUUAUAAGAGAAUGUUUAAACUGUAAAAUUAUAUCAAACUGUAAAGUUACAAUAUUACACCAAAACUACAAAAUUAUAAUAUUAUUAAUAAAUAUAGAAUUACUUUUUCAAAACUCUAAAACAACGAAAUUAUAUAUUCUGUUAAAAUCGUUAUAACCAUACAAUUAUCUAUUCAUUUAAAACUACAAAAUUACAUUUUUCGUUCAGAUCGCAAAUGAUUUCUCUAGCGAGAACUGCAAAUUUAAAUUUUUCUCACUGCAACAAAAAUUAUAUUUAAUAGUCAAAACCCACAAAAUUAUGUUUUCCAUCAACAUUCUAAAAUUCAAAUUACUGCUAAAUUGCAAAACUUGGAGUUUAUGAUUCAUUUUUGUUGUUGCCUUCUACAGUGGCAUCCGAGAGAACACAUUGUGUUGGUAUUGGAAAUGGAUUGCAUCCCGCCACAAGGCCCAUAAAAUAUAAAGUUUGGCAUGCUAAGCCACCCCAUGACAUUAGUUUGGCUAAGCAGUCCCCGACCAAAAGCUCUAGCUCGGCUCAAGACCACCUCAAUCGACUCAUCGAAGAAAACACAUCAGCUCGGCUCGAAGGCCCAGUUGCUCGGCCCGAGAUCAAGCCCAUUAGGACAUGACGACCUAAGGCAAUGGGAAAGAGAGGCAGCUUAUAUAAGGAAGAAGAGGACCAGCAGGGGGAUCCGAACAUUAACAUACAUAUACUUGGCGGCUAGAAAUUAGGGUUUUAUUCACUUGUAUUCUUGCCGACUUGUACUUUCCCGGCCAGCUCAUCGAACACCGGCUUACUUUUCCAUUUGUUUCCUCAUUUGUAAACUGAACCUUUUCCCGAUCAAUAGAAAAACGCCUUUGAACUAACCCACUGACGAGUUAGGUCUUACCGUACGAGUCCCGGUCAAACUCGGUUCAAACAAGUGGGUGGAUCAGAAGAUUGUUCUCUAUGGCUUCGGAAUGCUGAUAAAGAGGCCUAUCUUAAUAUGUUUUCUGGUCACAAUCAGAGUUUUACUUGCGGUGACUUCACCCCUGACAGUAUCUAUAUAAGUUUCUGCCCCCAGUAUGCUUUUUUUUUUUUUUUGCUAUAAUCCCCCAGUAUGCUUUAUGUGGAUUAUAUAAUUAAGCCUUUCCUUUGCUUGCCUCAUGUGAAUGUGUGGAGUUUUCACCAAGCUCUGCAACCAUCCCUACGGCUGCAACAGAUGGAAUUGUCAAGACACUUAUAAUCGGGGAUCUGCAACAUUCAACUCCCAGGAAGGUGUGACAUGCGUGGCUUGGAUAGGAUCUUCAAGUCCUUUAAUGCCAACAAGUUUAAAGAACUACCUGACAUAGAGGUUCUGCAAUAUUAAUCUUAGAUGACUGAUGCUGUAAGCUUGUAGUUUCUCUGAUGAUAUAAUAAAAAAACAGAGAAAGCAACAAGGCCUUCUUCUAUUACAGGAAGGUGUAACAUGCAUGACUUGGAUAGGAAGUUAGGAACCAUGUACUAUUAUUACCUCUCGUAUUGGUUCGGACAUGUGUGAUUAUCUGAUGAGAUGAUAACAUUCUACGUUUCAUUAUUAUCAAUAGCUUCUAUGCAAUAUCAACUAGCAGUGUGGCCACUCAUUAUCAAUAUUUUCAUUAGAUUAAAUUUAUAACUAGAAUAUUUACGCCAGAUCCCUUUGUUUGAUUAAAAUUUUAUUUUUAUUUCAUAAUGUAUAUAUUGUAGAAUUCAUGAGAAAAAUGCUAAAACGGUUAUGUUGGAACUUGGAAGUAAAUGAGACUGAACUAUGUGGUUGUAACAAAGAGUAGGGACUUCAUUAAUAGCAAGGUCUCUAGGAGUCACACUUGAUGGCAGGUAGGACUUGAUGAGAGUUUGAUGAUAAUGAGUCGUCAUAGACAUAUGUACCUUCACAUAAGUUCAUCUAUAUGCCAGUGUAUCGUUAAAAUUUGAAUUUAGAAAAAGAAAAAAAAAAAGAAUUUAGAAAUAAGAACCAAACAUUUAUAAGAAGAUUCAGAUGAAGGGAUAAGGAUCAAAGAAUGUGAAAGCCUUUUGAAAA